UACGGAGGAUGCAAGCGUUAUCCGGAAUGAUUGGGCGUAAAGCGUCCGCAGGUGGCUGUGUAAGUCUGCUGUUAAAGAGUGAGGCUCAACCUCAUAAAGGCAGUGGAAACUACAUGGCUAGAGUGCGUUCGGGGCAGAGGGAAUUCCUGGUGUAGCGGUGAAAUGCGUAGAGAUCAGGAAGAACACCAACGGCGAAAGCACUCUGCUGGGCCGACACUGACACUGAGAGACGAAAGCUAGGGGAGCGAAUGGG
rnacentral:rRNA from 1 species